rnacentral:tRNA from 1 species
GGAGUUGUAGCUCAUGGUAAAGCACUUACCUCGCAAGUAGGAGACACAGGGUUCAAUCCUCAGCACCA